rnacentral:rRNA from 1 species
AACGCGAAGAACCUUACCUGGGUUUGACAUCCCCUGACAACCAUAGAGAUAUGGCUUCUGUAGCAAUACAGCAGGGAGACAGGUGCUGCAUGGCUGUCGUCAGCUCGUGUGGUGACAUGUUGGGUUAAGUCCCGCAACGAGCGCAACCCUUGUCUUUAGUUGCCAGCAUUCAGUUGGGCUCUCUAAAGAGACUGCCGUGGUGAACACGGAGGAAGGUGGGGAUGACGUCAAGUCCUCAUGGCCUUUAUAUCCAGGGCGACACACGUGAUACAAUGGCCGGUACAGAGGGAAGCAAAAGCGCGAGCUCAAGCCAAUCUCAAAAAGCCGGUCUCAGUUCGGAUUGGAGUCUGCAACUCGACUCCAUGAAGUUGGAAUCGCUAGUAAUCGCGGAUCAGCACGCCGCGGUGAAUACGUUCCCGGGCCUUGUACACACCGCUCGCGA